rnacentral:rRNA from 1 species
GAUGAACGCUGGCGGUAUGCCUAAGAUAUGCAAGUCGAGCGGUAAGGCUCCUUCGGGAGUACACGAGCGGCGGACGGCUGAGUAACGCGUAGGAACGUACCCCAAACUGAGGGAUAAGCACCAGAAAUGGUGUCUAAUACCGCAUGUGCUCUUCGGAGUAAAGCUACGGCGGUUUGGGAACGGCCUGCGUAUGAUUAGCUUGUUGGUGAGGUAAUGGCUCACCAAGGCGACGAUCAUUAGCUGGUCUGAGAGGAUGAUCAGCCAGACUGGGACUGAGAACGGCCCAGACUCCUACGGGAGGCAGCAAUUAGGAAUCUUCCACAAUGGGGGCAACCCUGAUGGAGCAAUACCGCGUGCAGGAUGAAUGCCUUCGGGUUGUAAACUGCUUUUAUCUGUGACGAUUAUGACGGUAGCAGAUGAAUAAGGAUCGGCUAACUCCGUGCCAGCAGCCGCAGUAAAAC